rnacentral:rRNA from 1 species
CAGAGGUGGCAAGCGUUGUUCGGAAUUACUGGGCGUAAAGGGCGAGUAGGUGGCCAUCUAAGUCAGACGUGAAAUCCCCCGGCUUAACCUGGGAACUGCGUCUGAUACUGGACGGCUCGAGUAUGGGAGAGGGAGGUAGAAUUCCAGGUGUAGCGGUGAAAUGCGUAGAUAUCUGGAGGAAUACCGGUGGCGAAGGCGGCCUCCUGGACCAUUACUGACACUGAUCCGCGAAAGCUAGGGGAGCAAACGGGAUUAGAUACCCCGGUAGUCCUAGCCCUAAACGAUGAAUGCUUGGUGUGGCGGGUAUCGAUCCCUGCCGUGCCGAAGCUAACGCAUUAAGCAUUCCGCCUGGGGAGUACGGUCGCAAGGCUG